UCGAGAAUUUUUCACAAUGGGCGCAAGCCUGAUGGAGCGACGCCGCGUGGGGGAUGAAUGGCUUCGGCCCGUAAACCCCUGUCAUUUGCGAUCAACCGUUAUUAUUUAAAAGAUGAUGACCUGAUAGUAGCGAAAGAGGAAGGGACGGCUAACUCUGUGCCAGCAGCCGCGGUAAUACAGAGGUCCCAAGCGUUGUUCGGCUUCACUGGGCGUAAAGGGUGCGUAGGUGGCGAGGUAAGUCGGAUGUGAAAUCUCCAAGCUCAACUUGGAAAAUGCAUUGGAAACGACCGUGCUCGAGGUUGGGAGGGGGGACUGGAAGACUUGGUGUAGCAGUGAAAUGCGUAGAUAUCAAGUGGAACACCAGUGGCGAAAGCGAGUCCCUGGACAAAUCCUGACACUGAGGCACGAAAGCUAGGGGAGCAAACA
rnacentral:rRNA from 1 species